GCACAUCAGAGAUCUUCAUGCAUGUGAGUGAGCAUCUCUUUGGGGGCACUUUGUAAUGCAGCAAUAACUGACCGACACAGGUGGUCUACGUGCCAGGUCAGACAGCCGACAGAUGGUGUUUUACGUAUGUGUACCAGGAAACUUGAACAUGCACGACAUCUCAGCUCUCCAUCUUACAGAAGGGCACGGAGAACUGGGAAGUGUUAUGCUUGGGGACCCACAAAGCCAGUGAUUGGACAGAGAGAGAAGUAACUAUGGAUGUUGAUUCUAGAAUUCCGGAACUGGGCUCCUGUCACAUAGCUGUGCUCUGAAACAGAGCCCACCUUUACUGCUUUGAAAAAUUCUAGUAUCAAAGAGCUACACGAAUAAACCAACGAAUCACAGACCUCGAAACUCUCUCUGUCUCCCUCCCCACCGCUUUCCUCUCUUCGUCUCUUCCUCUCUUCCUCUCUCCGUCUCUCUCUCUCUCUCUUUCAAUUGAGGGAUAGAGACAGUGUGGUAUAGUUAAAGUACACUGGAGAAAGGGUCAAGAAAACUAUGUUCCACUGCUGACUCUGCCACUCUCCCUCUGAGACUUUGGCUAAGUUACUUUACCUCUUGGAGCUUCGCUUUCCUCAUCAGGAAAGCAGAGCUGGUAAUACUUCUGCCUCGCAGAGGAAUUGAAGGGAUUUAUGAAAUAACAAUUCUAGAGCGCUCACGAGAACGUCUGGCUCAAGCUCUGCCUCUGGGGAGAAGCAGUCAACAGGUAUUUACUGAGCACCUACGACAGACCGGGCUCUGCACCAGCCCUGGGAAUGCUGCGGCAAAUGAAACGACACUCACGGAGACAUUUAGUCUGGAGCAGCUCUGUCCAACAGAAAUCCAAUCCAGGGAUUGGUAACAGCCCCUGUCUGGCUCCUCCUCAGCGCUUCACUCUUCCUUCCUGGUUCCCGUGAGCCCCUCCACACCUCUGUAAAAUGCACCUUCAUUAAACUCUCUUCAUUUGCCCUUCUGAGUGUUCCUGCCACUUCACAUGUGAUCAGGGAGCUUUGGCUUGAAGGACAAGGAGUCAGCCAAGAUGAAACCUGGGCAAGGAUGCUGCUUGAGGCAGAGGGGAUGCAGGAGCAAAGGGCUUGCAGAGAACAAACUAGAUGUAUCACAAGAACAAGAGGAAAGCCAAAGGAAGCCGAGGUCAGCAAGAAACAAGAGAGCGGAAAAAGUGAGAUGGGAGAUGUGUGGGGCCAAAUCACGCAGGGACUCGUGCUAGAGGAGGAACUCUGCAGUUUAUUCUAAGCACAGUAGAACCCCCUGCAGGGUUUGGAGUUGGAGAGUAACAUGUCUGACUGAUGCUUUCAAAAUCCAUGAUCUGCACCAAAAAAGAGAAAUAAAGCAUAGCAAAACAAAACCAAAAACAAAUGCCAAAACGAUGGGGACAUAUUAAAAAGUCACAGGAGCCAAGCUGAAAGAACUCUUAAUGGCCAAACUGGAACGUUGUCAGCAACAAAAUACGUAAUGAUGGUGUUGGAUUAUAACCAAAGAGGAAAAUACAUAUUCAUGAGCCUAUACUCAUAAAUGAUUGAAUAAGUAAAUAAAUGGAGGGGAAAGGCUGACACUUCCUUACAGAAGAAUUCCAAUUAAUAAAUAGAGAAGGAAUGAG
rnacentral:lncRNA from 1 species